UACGACUAUAUCACGUUCAAACAUCGGUUGUGAUCCGAUCACCAAAACUAAGCAACGUCGAGCCUGGUCAGUAUCUAGAUGGGUGACUACUUGGGAAUACCACGUGCUGUAA